GGACUAUGGUUCCACAAAUCAGUGGAGAGGGGGCUUGCCUGUGUGCUCUCUGAAGAGGUACAGAAGUCAAGUUACAAGGUCUUAAAGGAGCAGAGAGAGGGAUCGCAGCAGGAGGCAUCAAGACUCUUUACAGGAAGAUUCUGCUCAGGGUAGGGCUUGUCAUCAUACAGACAGUGACUUGGAGAAGAAGGGUUGGAGAUUCAUGGGCAUUUGUGUUGCUGAGAUUGCUAUGGUGAUGGGAAGGAUGGAGGAUCAAUAUGAGAGGUGCUUUGAAUAAAUUCAUCUUAGGAAUGAAACUAAAGACAUUCUUGGAAAAGACCCUUCUCGCAGUUAGGCAUGGCUGCAGAAACAUAUUGGCCAGGAGAAAAGAGGAAACCGGGACCCAAAGAGAACAUACCAGGGAAGAAGCAUGGCUUACUUUCACGAUGCUGUGGAUGUGGAAAAAUCUGAGAUUUGUUUGUUAUAGUAGCAAGGACACCAGUGUUGCAGAGAAAAGCAUUCAUGCUUGGAUCCUUGCUCCUCAAGGUCUAAGUUGUGAUGUCACUCUUUAUCAUGGGGGACAUGCUCCUCCCAGACCCAGGAGAGUCCGUGAAUCUUUAGCCCAUGGAGAAACUCAAGAAGCAAGCCUGAAGAGGUGUGUUAUCCAGCUUGUCCUUCAGAAGAACCAGUUGUAAGACCUUGAGUGACAUUCCUUUGUUGAGACGCAUGAGGGCGCUCAAGCCAACUGACGAUGUGGAGAUGUUUCCUA